GUAGUGGUACGGGCUGAGAUUCCGAUCGGAAACUCAUAACCCGAAGGUCGCAGGUUCAAAUCCUGCCCCCGCCACCA
rnacentral:tRNA from 1 species